rnacentral:rRNA from 1 species
CAGCAGCCGCGGUAAUACGGGGGAGGCAAGCGUUAUCCGGCAGCAGCCGCGGUAAUACGGGGGAGGCAAGCGUUAUCCGGAAUUAUUGGGCGUAAAGCGUCCGCAGGUGGUCAGCCAAGUCUGCCGUCAAAUCAGGUUGCUUAACGACCUAAAGGCGGUGAAUUAUUGGGCGUAAAGCGUCCGCAGGUGGUCAGCCAAGUCUGCCGUCAAAUCAGGUUGCUUAACGACCUAAAGGCGGUGGAAACUGGCAGACUAGAGAACGGUAGGGGUAGCCCCAAUUGAAACCUGGCAGACUAGAGAUCAGUAGGGGUAGCAGGAAUU